rnacentral:rRNA from 1 species
CCUACGGGAGGCAGCAGUGAGGAAUAUUGGUCAAUGGGCGGGAGCCUGAACCAGCCAAGUCGCGUGAGGGAAUACGGUCCUAUGGAUCGUAAACCUCUUUUGCCGGGGAGCAAUGCCGGGGACGUGUGCCCGCCCGGAGAGUACCCGCAGAAAAAGCAUCGGCUAACUCCGUGCCAGCAGCCGCGGUAAUACGGAGGAUGCGAGCGUUAUCCGGAUUUAUUGGGUUUAAAGGGUGCGUAGGCGGAUUUUUAAGUCAGCGGUAAAAUGUCUGGGCUCAACCCCGUCCGGCCGUUGAAACUGGGGAC